GAAUGUGGGAUACAGAAGCCUUUAGUGAUAAAAAGGGAACUCCAUGCUGCAGAAAACUGUGGCCCAAGAGAAAGCACUACAGGUGCAGUGUCACGCAUUAACAGGUGUCUCCAAGAAGGACUGACAAAAGGACCCUAAUACUGUCACAAGUAAACUUAGUCACCAGAGUGAGCCUCUCGCUCCUAACGAACAGGUCCCACAGCCCUGUGGGGCACCCUCCCUUAUCUUGCUCCUCUCAACGCCUGGUUUCCAGGAAAGGCUGCAAGCUACUGACUUCCGCCGGGGAGGAGAGUGCCCGCUAGCUCUCCCAGGCAGGAUCUGCAGGGAAACUUUCCCUUCCCCUUCCAUGGCUCGCUGCCGGGAGAGCAGCGGGGCCCCGCUGCGAGCGGGUGGGGGGAGGUUGCCGGGGCGCCCGGGCCGGCGCUCCUCGCUGCCUCGGGCUCUCGGGGCCGCCGGUGUCUCCGUCCCUCCCUUCCCUGCGCUUGAAUGGAGCCCUUCGCCUUCAGAGGAGUCUCGUACACGGCUGGGAAGGAGACUCCUAGGACCCCGCGAAGAGGCUGGGGAGGGGAACAGCACCAGGUCACGGUAACCGUUGGUCAGAUUUAUGAAAAGAGGAAAACCCCCAAUUCUCAUUAAAAUAAAACAUGAAGUAAUGGAGAGCUCUUUCCGGAGAAGCCGGGGGAGGAAAGGAUGAGAAGCCAGGACCGGGGCACCCCAGGCCUCCCUCGGGAGCAGGAGCAGCCAAACCCCAAACAGCGUUUGCCCUCUCCGGGUACGCAGCCCGCGGAGCUGCCGGCGGAGCUCACGCAGCGCCGGUGCUGCGGGAAGGCGGCUCGGCACCCCGGCUCUCCCCCCCUCCCGGCCCGGCCGCGCUGCCCCGGGCUCCGCGGCAGCACCCGGACCAGCCCCGCCCGACAGGUAGAGCUGAGGCACCCCUCAGCUGCACUCCUGUAAGCACUCAGUGCUGCCCUGGAAGGAUACCUGCUUUUGAAUUUGAGAAGUCAGGCGAGGAUCUCCAUUUGGGAAAAAGAAACUGACAGAAGACAAAAGAACCAGCAAAGAGGAUAAUGGAUUAUCCACUGUCAUGUCUCAUCUGGAAGUUAUCUAAAGACUGCUUUGUAUAGGGUGCCAAGAGCCAACAUCCAUUUCUAAGGCAUAUCCCAUACUGUCUGCACAGGAGCAUCUCACUAUCCCUACGUACAGCAUAGAUCACCUACCUCUGAGUAACACAAAACCGAGGAUGGAUUAGUCCUGCGUUAUCAGUCCUUUAAUACCAGAGCCAACGUUUCUCCUUUUGCAGGGAAGUGCCAGCUCAAAUUCAGCUUCUCUUGCAGGCUGCAACCUGUGUUAGCCUGCUGAUGCCUUCCACCAUGGGCAAGGCUCCUCUCACCACCAGGCUGCUCCAGCCAUUUCAAAGACACCUGUGGCAUCUUCACCCACUGCCUUUACACAAGCUGUUUUGAAGUCUUCUUUAGCAGCUGCCCCUCAUUAGCUGCUUGGUGGAGGAGCAAGAGGGAAGAAGAGGGAGGAGAGCUCAUUGGGGUAUUAUUAACCCUUCCUGGACGACUGCUGUGGUGUGAAGUGUAUAUUCUUCAUCAUGUCUUUCGUAGUUCCAACUGGUGUGACUGGGGGAAGAAGUUUCUAAUUGUGAGAUGAAAGCAGGCUGAAAGUUAUACCUUCUUAAUUAUAAACUGCAUAAAGACCUACCUAUGGCUGGAAGGUUACCUAUUAAAGUAACACAAACAGAUAUCUUAAAGUGAUGUCAUGUAGUUGGCCUGCAUUGGUACUGGUCUCAGUUGUCAGUUCCUGAAAUCAGAUAUAACCAUCUUCCUACAUCUGCAGCUCACAAAAAAUGUGUUUAACUUCCUGGCAGAAUGGUGUGGUAAAGAUAUUUCUUGAAGAAAAUCUCAACUAUUGCUUUUUUUUUUUUUUUUUUUUUGACAAUUGCUCAGAAAUACCAAUGCUAAAUGAUCUCAUUCUACUUUUUGAUUGAUUGAUGUCAUUAUGAAAACAAAAAUAUUUCCCCAGAUCUUGGUUCUGACUUGAUCUUGUAUUAAAAAAAGCUAUCAGGAAAGUAAUUGCAUUUUGAAAUGUAUAAAACGUGCAAAUUUUUGUUUAUCUGUGUGAGUUGUUAUGUGUGUGUAUUUUAAGUUUAGAAGCAGAAAAAGAAGAAAGUACCUGUCAAUGAGACAAAACAUCUUCAUUUUGGGUACACAGAGAUAUAUCUUGGUUUCAAUAAGGACUAAAAACGUAUCAUUUGGGGGAGGAGGGGCGGUGGGAACUACACAGUAGAAAAUCUGUGCUGAACAUUGUUCCUUAUACAGUAACAUGUGAUUACGUUCAAAUCUCCUCUUUCCCCUUUAUUAAAUAAUGUACGGCACAAAAAUAAAAAAAUAAUAAAAUGUCUGGAUGCUCAGAAAUGAAUAAAGGUGAAUAAAGGUAUCUUUUAGAUACUGUAAUAAAAUCUUCUAUUAGAACUGUUGCUAGCACAACAGUUGCUCAAAUUGCAUUUUUAAAAUGUACAUCUGCCUUGUCUCUCGGAUGCUCUGAGGACAGAUAGAUCUUUAAUCUCUGCAGACACAAAUAAGCACUCCAGAAUUUGAUGGGUUUUAUACAAUAGGUUGAAUUAACCCUGCAUAGUAAGGCACUCUGCACAUCCAGUACAAGUAUACAUUGUGUUGUAUGGAUUCUCAUUUCCAGAUGUCAGUAUUCUUACUCAGGCUACUUGUUAUUUCUUGUAGCAAUAAAGACACUUGCACCUUCAAGCUUCAAGGCUUUGGCAGAAAAAAAAUCCUUUGUCAUUUAUUACUACUAACUUAAAUAUUUGUUCAGCUCUAUCUAUUGAUGUUAGCUGAGGACAGCAGUUUUAUAAAGUAUGAGAACCAAAGAGAAGUGGUCUUUUACUGGUUUGUGGCCUUCAGCAGGUGCCGGGCUCAAAAGAGCCAGAGCAAAGCACUGUGGUCGCUGUAGCACUUGUAGCCCCUAGUGCAUGGUCAGCUCCUUGGAACCUGAGAACACUUGAAAAUGAGAUAACAAGCUUGUCAAAGAUGGAAGCUGGGGUGCCCUGGUUGAACUCCUUACCCGCAGUAUACUUCUUCUGUGGGCUUGGGCAAACCUCUGUGCUGCAGGCUCAUGAGUAGUGUCUCAGUGGAGCAGGGUAUGCAAUGAGUGAGACACUGCUCUGAGGAAAGUGUGGGGGAAGUCACCAACCAAAUCUCCCUGUAAAAUAAAAAAGUAAGCUAGGUGCAGAGGAAGAUGCUUCCCAUCAGGCAGCAUACUCAGGAGAAGGAAUCAAGCCGACUGCUGAGAAGUCCUGAGGAGAAAGGGGUAUCUCCCUUCCCAGAGCCCUCCAGUGCUUGGACACACACUUACCUGCAAACCUAAAUGGUAAAAUUUGGUUUCAUAGCAUGAAAGUCCUUUCUGAGAUCUGAUUUUGGAUAAUAAGCUCAUUCCCUUCAAAUUUGUGAUGGUGUCACUGUUAAAUGCAGGGCAACAAUAAACUGUGGCAGAUGCU